GUGUGAGCAACAAGGCUGUUUAUUUCACCUGGGCGCAGCAUUCACCAGGGCUUAGAAGACCCUGUGGCACCUGAAAGUGAAUGUGCAAUUGGAUUGGAGUUAUGCUGCAACAAUUAGCUGCUCAAUUGUGUGUUUAUUACAUAUACCAAGAUCACUUAAAUAACACUACAG
ensembl:lncRNA novel transcript